rnacentral:rRNA from 1 species
UGGGGAAUCUUGGGCAAUGGGCGAGAGCCUGACCCAGCGACGCCGCGUGAGGGAAGAAGGCCUUCGGGUCGUAAACCUCUGUCAGGAGGGAAGAAAAUGCUACAUAUUAAUAGUGUGUAGUAUUGACGGUACCUCCAGAGGAAGCGCCGGCCAACUCCGUGCCAGCAGCCGCGGUAAUACGGAGGGCGCAAGCGUUAUUCGGAAUUACUGGGCGUAAAGCGCGCGUAGGCGGCAACGUAAGUCAGGUGUGAAAGUCCUCGGCUCACCCGGGGGAUGGCACUUGAAACUGCGUAGCUGGAGUUCUGGAGAGGGUGGCGGAAUUCCCGGUGUAGGAGUGAAAUCCGUAGAGAUCGGGAGGAACACCAGAGGCGAAGGCGGCCACCUGGCCAGAAACUGACGCUGAGGCGCGAAAGCGUGGGUAGCAAACA